rnacentral:rRNA from 1 species
UAAUCGUAUAUCAGCAAUGAUACGGUGAAUACGUUCCCGGACCUUGCACACACCGCCCGUCAAGCCAUGGAAGCUGGGUGUACCUA